rnacentral:rRNA from 1 species
CCAAUAGCGUAUAUUAAAGUUGCUGCAGUUAAAAAGCUCGUAGUUGAAUUUCGGGACCAAUAUGUCGGUCGUGCCUCGGUACGUACUGGCAUCGUUGGUUUCUCCCUUCUGAAGAACCAUGAUGUCAUUCAUUUGGUGUCGUGGGGAAUCAGGACUGUUACUUUGAAAAAAUUAGAGUGUUUAAAGCAGGCUCACGCUUGAAUACAUUAGCAUGGAAUAAUGAAAUAGGACGUUUGAUUCUAUUUUGUUGGUUUCUAGGAUCGACGUAAUGAUUAAUAGGGAUAGUUGGGGGCAUUAGUAUUCAAUUGUCAGAGGUGAAAUUCUUGGAUUUAUUGAAGACUAACUACUGCGACAGCAUUUGCCAAGGAUGUUUUCAUUAAUCAAGAACGAAAGUUAGGGGAUCGAAGACGUUCAGAUACCGUCGUAGUCUUAACCAUAAACUAUGCCGACUAGGGAUCGGAUGAUGUUAAUUUUUUAAUGACUCAUUCGGCGCCUUACG